GGCCCAGUGGCCUAAUGGAUAAGGCAUCAGCCUCCGGAGCUGGUGAUUGUGUUCAAGUCCCACCUGGGUCG
rnacentral:tRNA from 1 species